rnacentral:rRNA from 1 species
GACGAACGCUGGCGGCGUGCCUAAUACAUGCAAGUUGAGCGCUGAAGGUUGGUACUUGUACCAACUGGAUGAGCAGCGAACGGGUGAGUAACGCGUGGGGAAUCUGCCUUUGAGCGGGGGACAACAUUUGGAAACGAAUGCUAAUACCGCAUAAAAACUUUAAACACAAGUUUUAAGUUUGAAAGCUGCAAUUGCAUCACUCAAAGAUGAUCCCGCGUUGUAUUAGCUAGUUGGUGAGGUAAAGGCUCACCAAGGCGAUGAUACAUAGCCGACCUGAGAGGGUGAUCGGCCACAUUGGGACUGAGACACGGCCCAAACUCCUACGGGAGGCAGCAGUAGGGAAUCUUCGGCAAUGGACGAAAGUCUGACCGAGCAACGCCGCGGGAGGGAAGAAGGUUUUCGGAUCGUAAAACUCUGUUGGUAGAGAAGAACGUUGGUGAAAGUGGAAAGCUCAUCAAGUGACGGUAACUACCCAGAAAGGGACGGCUAACUACGUG